rnacentral:rRNA from 1 species
AUUGAACGCUGGCGGCAGGCCUAACACAUGCAAGUCGAACGAGUGGCGGACGGGUGAGUAAUGUCUGGGAAACUGCCUGAUGGAGGGGGAUAACUACUGGAAACGGUAGCUAAUACCGCAUACCAUCAGAUGUGCCCAGAUGGGAUUAGCUAGUUGGGGGGGUAAAGGCUCACCAAGGCGACGAUACAUAGCCGACCUGAGAGGGUGAUUGGCCACACUGGAACUGAAACACGGUCCAGACUCCUACGGGAGGCAGAAGUGGGGAAUAUUGCACAAGGGGAGAAAGCCUAAUGCAGCCAUGCGGCGGGUAUGAAGAAGGCCUUCGGGUUGUAAAGUACUUUCAGCGGGGAGACGUUACCGGCAGAAGAAGCACCGGCUAACUCCGUGCCAGCAGCCGCGGUAAUU